rnacentral:lncRNA from 1 species
GUGGGCACAAAUUAAUUUGUCUGGGGUCCAUAAAGGAGAAGGUCGACCAGGUGCCAUGGCUCAUGCCUUUAAUCCCAGCACUUUAGGAGGCAGAGGUGGGCGUCAGGAAUUCGAGACCAGCCUCGCCUGGAAUGUACAUGGUGAUGUAGCAGGAACGGUUGCAGACAAAACCUCUCAGACACCAGUUUUAGGAAGGAAGAGGCUUUAAUCAGCUGGGAGCGUUGACAGACUUGCAUCUGAAGAUUGGAGCUCCCUGAAGAAGUCCCUGGCCCUUUUAAGGGCUUACAAUUCUAAGGGGUCCACGUGAAAGGGUCGUGAUAGAUUGUGCAAGCGUGGGCUACGUGACUGGGGGGCUACAUGCAUCAGUGGUGGGGGCUAGCAGAACAGACCAGAAAGUUUCACAAUGCUUCCUCAUACAAUGUCUGGAAUCUUUAGAUAAAACAAGCGGUCAGGUCAGGAGUUGAUCUUUAACUACCAGGCCCAGGUAGCAGCGCCAAACAGUCUGGCCAUUGAUCUUACUUCUGCAUCUUUCUAACUUUUUGCUUCCUUCUGAAAUAGGAGACAAUGAGAGAGGUGGUCUCCUUCCUCAGUGAAACCCCAUCUCUACUAAAAAAUAGAAAAAUUAGCAGAGAUUGGUUCUGGGCAUCUGUAAUCCCAGCUACUCAGGAGGCUGAGGUGGGAGAAUUGCUUGAACCCAGCAGGCAGAGGUUGCAGUGAGCAGUGAUUCUGCUAUUUAGCACUCCAGCCUGGGCAACAGAGUGAAACUCCAUCUCAAAAAAAAAAAAAAGUUGUGUAUGGUGGCUUAUAUCUGUAAUCCCAGCACUUUGGGAGGCUGAGGAGAGUGGAUCGCCUGAGCUCAUGAGUUCAAGACCAGCCUGAGCAACAUGGAGAAACCCCGUCUCUACUAAAACUACAAAAUUAGCCAGGCGUGGUGGCACACGCCUGUAGUCCCAGCUACUCAGGAGGCUGAGGCACGAGAAUCGCUUGAACUCGGAAGGCAGAGGUUGCAGUGAGCUGAGAUUGUGCCAUUGCACUCCAGCCUAGAAAACAAGAGCAAAACUGUCUGAAAAAAAAAAAAAAGAUAUUUGGAAGCAGAGAGACCCCAGAGGUACAGUACAGGUUCAUAGAGGAAAGGCCACAGAGGACACAGCCAGAAGGGAUCCCUGCCAUCCAGGAGGAGCGGCCUCAGAGCAAACAACCCCGCCGACCCCUCCACCUUGGACUUGUAGCCUCCAUAUCUGUGAGAAAAUAAAUGCCUGCCUGUGGCCCGCAUUAUUCAUGUGGGCACCUGGCCCAGGGCAUCUUCUGUGGAGGCCACAGCAUGAAGGGAUCAUUUUUAUAGAGAAUCUCAUUCUCUAAUAACUUAUAUCUGCCUAGAAAAUGUCAAGUCAAAUUUAAAGUGUGGAGAAGGGCCUCUAAAUUUCACAUUUCAUUUGCAAAGAAAGAAUUGUAAUUUGGGACAUACACGCAGUCCGGGUGGUGUUCACCAUGUUGGGAGAACAGAGACAGCAACAGGUCCUAUUAAAAGGAGAAAUGGGCUAGGCGCUGUGGCUCACACCAGCAAUCCCAGCAAUUUGGGAGGCCAAGGAGGUUGGAUCACUUGAGGUCAGGAGUUUAAGACCAGCCUAAGCCUGGCCAGGUGGCUCACGCCUGUAAUCCCAGCACUUUGGGAGGCCGAGACGGGUGGAUCACGAGGUCAGGAGUUCAAGACCAGCCUGGUCAAGAUGUUGAAACCCCGUCUCUACUAAAAACACAAAAAUUAGCUAGGCGUGGUGGCACGCGCAUGUAAUCCCAGCUACUUGGGAGGCUUAGGUAGGAAAAUAGCUUGAACUCAGGCGGCAGAGGCUGCAGUGAACCCAGAUUGCACCACUGCACCCCAGCCUGGGCAACAGAGCAAGACUCCAUCUCAAAAAAUAAAAUAAAAAUAAGACCAGCCUGGGAAACAUGAUGAAACCCGUUUUUAUGAAAAAUACAAAAAUUAGCCUGGUUUGGUGGUGGACGCCUGUAAUCCCAGCUACUCGGGAGGCUGAGACAGGAGAAUCACUUGAACAAGGGAGGCAGAGGUUGCAGUGAGCCGAGACCGCACCAUUGCACUCCAGCCUGGGUGACAGGGCGAGACUCCAUUUCAAAGAAAAAAAAAAAGAAAAGGAGAAAUGUUCUCUUGUCCUAUGGGAAAGCCCAUGGGCACUAGGAAGGGUUGGGAACUGGGAGGUUCCAUUGCUGAAUAGCUGCGAUUAUAGCAAGGAGUCCAAGACUUACAGCCAUUUAUUGCAGAAGCUAUGGAUAAAGCUGGUUUCAGGGUACAAUGCACAGUUUCAGGAGUCAGGCUUGCAGAGAAGUCCAUUUU